AUUGCACGCUGGCGGCAGGCCUAACACAUGCAAGUCGAGCGAGCGGCGGACGGGUGAGUAAUGUAUGGGGACUGCCCGAUAGAGGGGGAUAAAUACUGGAAACGGUAGCUAAUACCGCAUACUAUCGGAUAACCCAUAUGGGAUUAGCUAGUAGGUGAGGUAAUGGCUCACCUAGGCGACGAUCCCUAGCUGGUAUGAGAGGAUGAUCAGCAACACGGGGACUGAGACACGGCCCAGACUCCUACGGAGGCAGCAGUGGGGAAUAUGGCACAAUGGGCGCAAGCCUGAUGCAGCCAUGCCGCGUGUAUGAAGAAGGCCCUAGGGUGGUAAAGUACUUUCAGUCGGGAGGCGUUACCGACAGAAGAAGCACCGGCUAACUCCGUGCCAGCAGCCGCGGUAAUUC
rnacentral:rRNA from 1 species